UGUGGAAAAGUGAAUUUCCAAAACAUCUCCACUAGUAUGAACGGUUGAGAUGUUUUUCAAAACAACAAAAGCAAAACGAGUCGAUUUAGACAUGACAUUACACAAGAAUUAGCUGUGUUCGGAAACUCAAAAAUUUGUGCAAAUUUUUACUGGAAGUCGUUCGCGUACUUUAUUUGCCAGCAGAAGAGAGCGCGAGAUAACGCAAAUUUUGACAGGUAGAAAAUAGAGAACCUGCAAAUUUCUACAAGGACUUUUUGUUAGCAGAAAUUUGCAACUUUGAACAUAUGUUUUGUAAAGGUCAGCUGUUUUAUGAAAAGUAGCCGUUACAUAAAAAUACAAAAGCUAACCCCAAAAUGGAUCAAAAAGGCAGAGCUAGUGUUCAGGUACAGAAAACUCGACAAAUGUAGUUGUAGUUUUACCUCAAGUCGGGUGUUCUACAUUAGAAGACACCAAAAAAAAGAGCAAUUAUCGGUUUCUUAAGUGUUUUGAUGGAAUCAUCCUCAUCGGAGAGCUACGAUGAAACCAACACCGUUCCUUUGAAUUUGUUAAGGAGGGAAGAUGCUGCCAUGGGAUUGAGUGGGUCUAGCUGAGCAGUAAUCAACCAAGCACAUCAGCGGUCGUAGCAAUUAAUUUAGCCACAAUAUACAAAAGCAUUAGAUGGCUAGUCCAAGGUAUCUUUGUCAGCACAACAAGUAUACUUUUGUAUAUGGUGAUGGCAUGUAAAGCAGUUGUUGUUGUUGUUGUCGUAGCAGUGUGUUGUACACUGAGGCGGCAGCCAUUGCUGAUGAAGGACUCCGUCGGGUCAAUCCUUCGAAAUGUAUGCUGAUGCUCUGCGAAUGGAAAUUGUCCAACGAGAGGAGCGGGAGGAGUAGUCCCUCAUGCGUCUUGGCUACUGAUGACAGAUGGGAGAUCAGUCUGUACGUCUCCCUCUUGCUCGUGUCCUUUUCAGGUUUCAGUAGCGGGAUUAGACUGCCCAUCUUCCAAACAUCGGGUACUAUAAUAGUGUUCAGAUAGGCUGAGGAUAAUUGUAAGGUAGUCGCCUCCAGGCAGAUUCAGAUUCUUCAGCAUCCGUGUAGAGAUUCUGGCUGGAACCAGCGCCUUGCUCGACUUGGCAUCACGGAUGACAUUCGUAGCUUCGUGCACGAUUGUUGUUGAAGCAGUGUGUUUUACACUGAAAGAUUCCAUCGGGCCAAUGAAAAACUCCAUCGGGCCAAUCCGGUACGUAGAACCGGCUGUCAUGUGAUUGCACGGUAAUUUGUGAUGGCUGUCCAGCAGCACAAAGAUCACGGAUAUACGCAUGGCUCCCCUUCUAGCCUUUUUACUCUCAAUGUACUCAAUAAAUUGCCGUUUAUCUAAGGAAAAUACCUCAAAAGUAUCGCCAGUAUUUUUUGUUUAAAAAAAUAGUUUUCCAAGCAUGCAAAUAAAAAACCACCGAAAAUUAGCUGUUUUUCUGCAAAUUUUCGUUGGAAGUCGUUCGCGUACUUUUGCUUGCAAAUUUUUUAAAGAGAGUAAAAUGGUUCUUACGCCAAUCCUAUUAUCAUACACAUUUCAAACAAAUGACAAACGGUAAUUUCAAAUCUAGAAUUCAAAAAGUCUAUUGGAAAUUUUCAAACGAUGGUUUUUUAGUUAAAAUUGUUUUAUCUAAAAAAGGGGGAUUUUACCAAAAAGAAGAAAUGCGUAAAUUCAAUUCUAAUAAAACAUUUGUUUUGAUAAAGAAUGCAAAGUGCUUUUGCUUUUAGAUACAUGAAAGCAUUAAUAUCUGAAAAAGUUAUAAUAAAAUUUUUCCACAUGCUUAAUUCAGCCUAUUGUUCAAGGGACAAUCCGAAACUUCAACCACAGUAAAUGAAUAUUUCAAAAACUUUUGACUUCAGAUAGCAAAUAUGAUUUCGCCAAAUUUUUGAAUAUCAGGACAGCUUUGUAGACAGUUAUUAUAUCUUAGGACACUGUUACACGGAAUUAAACUUUUGUUAUACAAUCAAACAUUACACUAUCCCCUGGAUGUUCAAAUAAUGACCUUCUAAAGUAGAUAGAGGUCGAUGGUGAUAUCACAUCCUGCGCUGUUGUAUCGGAUGGCAUAAUACAUAUGGCUAAGCAAAGUGAAGAACACGAGACUAAUGGAAAUUCCGAGGAAUCAGACGAAGGAAAUUAAAAAAAAAACAGAAAUCGCUCCGAAACUUCAACCACAGUAAAUGAAUAUUUUAAAAACUUUUGACUUCAGAUAGCAAAUAUGAUUUCGCCAAAUUUUUGAAUAGCAAUAAAGGCAUAUCGUAUUUUACUGGAAUGUCAUGAAAUUUUAGAGAAAGGUGUAAUGCAGGUACAUAGCUUACAAACCAACAAAAAAUUAAGAAUACAUGCACAAAAACAAAAAACAUUACAUAAGUACUUUCAAUAUUUAUGUAUAUAUAUUUUAAGAAGCUUUCUAAAUAUAUACCAAUUUAUAUGGUACUACCAGAAACAGAUAAAUAAUAAAAUUUAAGAAAAAAACUUUAUUAACCGUGUUUCCGAUUUUCCGUGCUCAGCUCGGUCCCGAGUAAGACGGAUAAUUGGGGUUGAACUGUAUUUAAAGUUUUGAUAAGUAA